CACGUAGGCGGACUAUUAAGUUAGAGGUGAAAUCCCAGGGCUCAACCUUGGAACUGCCUUUAAUACUGGUAGUCUUGAGUUCGAGAGAGGUGAGUGGAAUUCCGAGUGUAGAGGUGAAAUUCGUAGAUAUUCGGAGGAACACCAGUGGCGAAGGCGGCUCACUGGCUCGAUACUGACGCUGAGGUGCGAAAGUGUGGGGAGCAAACA
rnacentral:rRNA from 1 species